UACGGGGGGGGCAAGCGUUGUUCGGAAUUACUGGGCGUAAAGGGUUUGUAGGUGGCUCGCUAAGUCAGACGUGAAAUCCCUCAGCUUAACUGGGGAACUGCGUCUGAAACUGAUGAGCUUGAGUGCAGGAGAGGAACGCGGAAUUCCAGGUGUAGCGGUGAAAUGCGUAGAUAUCGGGAGGAACACCAGUGGCGAAGGCGACUUCCUGGCCUGUUCUUGACGCUGAGGCGCGAAAGCUAGGGUAGCAAACGGG
rnacentral:rRNA from 1 species